rnacentral:misc_RNA from 1 species
GUUUUUUUAUAUCAGAUCUACAUAACGCAAUUCAAUUAGCAUUAUCCUUACUACAUUGCUUAUACAAUUAAACUAAGAAGUAUAUAACAGAAUAGAAUUAGAGAAUCUAAUGGGUCACCAAAAUUCACCUCAGUUAGAAUGCGACCAUCACAGCCCAACUCGACACUGCCUUUGUCCUCCAAGCAAGUUCCCAGAAGACUUGUUUAACGCAACUCCAACUGACAAAUCCCCACAGUAAACUCUCAAAUAUCUCCUCCUUGCUCUCCAAGCUCCAGCUUUAAAACUAACCCUAGCUACCAUCCUCACAUUGAAUCUAACACUUGCCUUUUCAGCCCUCUCUUUAGCCAUACCCUCAAAAGCCCAUUUCUCCACAUACGCCCCAGAGGCAACAAAGCUA